rnacentral:rRNA from 1 species
GACAGAGGGUGCAAACGUUGUUCGGAAUUACGGGGCGUAAAGCGAGUGUAGGCGGUCUGUAAAGUCAGGUGUGAAAGCCCCGGGCUCAACCCGGGAAGUGCACUUGAAACUCACAGGCUAGAGUAUCGGAGAGGUUGGUGGAAUUCUCGGUGUAGAGGUGAAAUUCGUAGAUAUCGAGAGGAACACCGGCGGCGAAGGCGGCUCACUGGCUCAUUACUGACGCUCAGGCGCGAUAGCGUGGGGAUCAAACAGG